AAUAAGUUCUAUAUAUACCGUUCGUCUUAUUUGAAGUUUUUUUUAUUAGUCAUAUUUUUAUUGUUAUUAAUUAGGUGAUAAAUCAUAAAUAGUGCUCCAUGCGUGACUUAUUUUUUAAAAAAUCAUAAAUUUUUCAUAUAAGACGGACGGUCAAAUAUCGGACACAGAAACCCACAAAUAAACUUAUU
rnacentral:pre_miRNA from 1 species